rnacentral:lncRNA from 13 species
AUGAUCCAUCUGCCUCAGCCUCCCGAAGUGCUGGGAUUACAGGGCUGCCAGAAGACCUGCUGUUUUUUCUCGGACCACUUCAGAAAGGUCAGUGGGGUUGUUGGAGUGGAGCAGAGCCUCCUCCUUCACUGCUACCACCAGCACACGACCACACACUCUGUCUUAGAGGCCACCAUCUGGCCUGCCGUGCCCACUUUCUUGUCCUCACACACUGUGUGAUCUUCACCAUCUGGAACUGGGGUCAGGCAGGGGUGCAGGCUGGAUUGCAGCAUAAGUUUGGUCCAUUUUGUGACACUGAUGAGAACAAGAUCACGGGCUUCUACUGCUAGGGGACUCUCAGGAAAGGCCCAGGGUUCCGAUCUACCCGCUGCUCCUCAUCGCCUGUGUGAAGCUGGGCUUCACGGAUGCAGGGGGCCAGAAGGUUGACGGGGAGGGGGGCGGUGAGUUUGAGGAUAACCUGAGGCCUCUUGAACCUGCAGGAGGGCUGGGACUUCCUUCCCUUCCUCUGAGAAACCCGCAGCAGCCACUUCCAGCCAAGAGUCCAGACAACUUCCAGCUGUGGUCUGCUGCUGCAUCUCCGAGCUUUUGAGAACUUCCAGGCGUGAUUUAUUUGUCCCUUUACAACAUUCACCUUUCGUGGUAAAUGCUCAGUUCAGCCCCUUGGAUGUGGAGG